UACAGAGGUCUCAAGCGUUGUUCGGAUUCAUUGGGCGUAAAGGGUGCGUAGGUGGCGCCAUAAGUCGGGUGUGAAAUCUCGGGGCUUAACUCCGAAACUGCAUUCGAUACUGUGGUGCUCGAGGACUGGAGAGGAGACUGGAAUUCAUGGUGUAGCAGUGAAAUGCGUAGAGAUCAUGAGGAAGACCAGUGGCGAAGGCGGGUCUCUGGACAGUUCCUGACACUGAGACACGAAGGCCAGGGGAGCAAACGGG
rnacentral:rRNA from 1 species